CCACUUACCUCAUAUUAACAUAUACCAUAAAAUAUCAAAUCUUAAAUUAUAAAUAAUUAAUAAUUCCCAUAAGAUAAAUAUAUUACUCCAAAUUAUAUAUAAUAUUUCAAAUUAUAAAUUUACAAAAUAAAGUUAAAUCACCAAGUUAAAGUUUAAAUAACUUUUACAAUAACUAUAAAUAAUUAGAGAGAUAAUUUGUAUUGUUUUUUUAGAGCCAUUGAUUUUGAUUUUGAUCAAAGGCCCAAAAUCAUUUUGUCUAUCUAUCCUCACACUUUCUUCCUAUUGGUCAAUUUGUUUAUGGCAUGGAUCACAACAAAUCAAUGGUUCACAGCCAUUCAUUAACUCUCAUCCAACGGAUACAAUUAAACACAUUUAUUAUUAUUUUUUUCUUUUCUUCUUCCUCCUUUUCUCGUUUCUUGUUUCUCAGAUUUCUCUCCUCUCUCUUCUCUCUCACAGUCACGACACUGCAUCUCUUUUUCUUUUCAAUUGCUCGUCGGAAAUCGAAAGCCCUGAUUUCAGAGACUUGAAGUUAUGAUGUGAAGUGCCAAAUUCGGAUUGUCUCCCUGUCUGAAACUGUUGAUGAAAGUUUGAAUCUUUUUCUGUUUUUGUUUUGAAAACUGGGUUUCAAGAUAACCAGGAGAUGAAGAAGAUGAAGAACAGCCGGAGAUGGAGAGAAGAGGCGGAGGCAGAGGAAUAAGCAACGAUGGAGAAGAAGAAGAAGAAGAAGAAGAAGAAGAAGGAGAGCAGACAGAGACGCAAAUAGGAGGAGGAUGGAGUAGGAAGAUGACGAGCAGAUCGAACGGUGGUGGUCGUGGCUGGUGGUCUAGGCGUCGUGGCGGCGGAGAUCGAAGAAGAACGUGAUUUAGUUAGGCUUAGUUAGGUUAGGUUUGGUUAGGGUUAGUUAAUAAACCAGAUUUGUAUGUAAACCGGUUUUUGUAAUAAACCCAUACAUUUGUAAACCAAAAUUUUUAAUAAUAAAUAUUUCUUUUCACAAA